rnacentral:rRNA from 1 species
CUCAAAGGAAUUGACGGGGACCCGCACAAGCGGUGGAGUAUGUGGCUUAAUUCGAUGCAACGCGAAGAACCUUACCUGGGCUUGACAUGCCUCUCUAAGCGCGUGAAAGCGCGUGACCCUUCGGGGGAUUGGCACAGGUGCUGCAUGGCCGUCGUCAGCUCGUGUCGUGAGAUGUUGGGUUAAGUCCCGCAACGAGCGCAACCCUUGUGAACAGUUGCCAGCGCGUCAUGGCGGGAACUCUGUUCAGACUGCCCAGAUCAACUGGGAGGAAGGUGGGGACGACGUCAGGUCAGUAUGGCCCUUACGCCCAGGGCUGCACACGUACUACAAUGCCCAGUACAAUGAGAACCGAUGCCGCGAGGUGGAGGAAAUCUGUAAAACUGGGCCCAGUUCGGAUUGGAGGCUGCAACUCGCCUCCAUGAAGUUGGAAUCGCUAGUAAUGGCGCAUCAUCUACGGCGCCGUGAAUACGUUCCCGGGUCUUGUACACACCGCCCGUCACAUCAUGGAAGCCGGUUUCACCCGAAGUGCCCGCGUCAACCGC